UACGAAGGGGGCUAGCGUUGCUCGGAAUCACUGGGCGUAAAGCGCACGUAGGCGGCCUCUUAAGUCGGUGGUGAAAUCCUGGAGCUCAACUCCAGAACUGCCUUCGAUACUGAGAGUCUCGAGUCCGGGAGAGAUGAGUGGAACUGCGAGUGUAGAGGUGAAAUUCGUAGAUAUUCGCAAGAACACCAGUGGCGAAGGCGGCUCACUGGCCCGGUACUGACGCUGAGGUGCGAAAGCGUGGGGAGCAAACAGG
rnacentral:rRNA from 1 species